GGCCUAACACAUGCAAGUCGAACGGCAGCACAGGAGAGCUUGCUCUCUGGGUGGCGAGUGGCGGACGGGUGAGGAAUACAUCGGAAUCUACUCUGUCGUGGGGGAUAACGUAGGGAAACUUACGCUAAUACCGCAUACGACCUACGGGUGAAAGCAGGGGAUCUUCGGACCUUGCGCGAUUGAAUGAGCCGAUGUCGGAUUAGCUAGUUGGCGGGGUAAAGGCCCACCAAGGCGACGAUCCGUAGCUGGUCUGAGAGGAUGAUCAGCCACACUGGAACUGAGACACGGUCCAGACUCCUACGGGAGGCAGCAGUGGGGAAUAUUGGACAAUGGGCGCAAGCCUGAUCCAGCCAUACCGCGUGGGUGAAGAAGGCCUUCGGGUUGUAAAGCCCUUUUGUUGGGAAAGAAAUCCAGCUGGCUAAUACCCGGUUGGGAUGACGGUACCCAAAGAAUAAGCACCGGCUAACUUCGUGCCAGCAGCCGCGGUAAUACGAAGGGUGCAAGCGUUACUCGGAAUUACUGGGCGUAAAGCGUGCGUAGGUGGUCGUUUAAGUCCGUUGUGAAAGCCCUGGGCUCAACCUGGGAACUGCAGUGGAUACUGGACGACUAGAGUGUGGUAGAGGGUAGCGGAAUUCCUGGUGUAGCAGUGAAAAUGCGUAGAGAUCAGGAGGAACAUCCAUGGCGAAGGCAGCUACCUGGACCAACACUGACACUGAGGCACGAAAGCGUGGGGGAGCAAACAGGAUUAGAUACCCUGGUAGUCCACGCCCUAAACGAUGCGAACUGGAUGUUUGGGUGCAAUUUGGCACGCAGUAUCGAAA
rnacentral:rRNA from 1 species